GGUAGUUUUUGAUGAAGUUGAAGUCCAAUCAACUCGAAACUUAGUAAAUAUAGUGCCGAGGUGGCAUCUGUGUACUAUGGACACAUUCUUGUUUCCACAUGUUUUACUUAUUUUAAUAUAUAUGCAACUGGUAUGACCCCUUAAAUAGUAAACAUUUCAAAGAAAACAGUAGACAGAAUACAGAGAGGAUCUAUAUAUUAAAGUAGCAUAAUCGUAGUUUACAUGUAGAUAAAACGCGU
rnacentral:lncRNA from 1 species